rnacentral:misc_RNA from 1 species
GAUGAAGAACGUAGCGAAAUGCGAUAAGUAAUGUGAAUUGCAGAAUUCAGUGAAUCAUCGAAUCUUUGAACGCACCUUGCACCCUUUGGCUAUUCCGAAGGGUAUGCCUGUUUGAGUAUCAUGAACACCUCAACUCUCAUGGUUUGCCAUGAUGAGCUUGGACUUUGGGGGUCUUGCUGGCCUGUGGUCAGCUCCUCUCAAAUGGAUUAGCUUGCCAGUGUUUGGUGGCAUCACAGGUGUGAUAACUAUCUACGCUUGUGGUUUUCCACCAGGUAACCUUCAGCAAUGGGGGUUCGCUGGGGCUCAUAAAUGUCUCUCCUCAGCGAGGACAGCUCUUUGAACGUUUGAUCUCAAAUCAGGUAGGACUACCCGCUGAACUUAAGCAUAUCAAUAAGCGGAGGA